AUACGUAUGUCGCAAGCGUUAUCCGGAUUUAUUGGGCGUAAAGCGCGUCUAGGCGGCUUAGUAAGUCUGAUGUGAAAAUGCGGGGCUCAACCCCGUAUUGCGUUGGAAACUGCUAAACUAGAGUACUGGAGAGGUAGGCGGAACUACAAGUGUAGAGGUGAAAUUCGUAGAUAUUUGUAGGAAUGCCGAUGGGGAAGCCAGUCUACUGGAAAGAUACUGACGCUAAAGCGCGAAAGCGUGGGUAGCAAACAGGAUUAGAUACCCUGGUAGUCCACGCCGUAAACGAUGAUUACUAGGUGUUGGGGGUCGAACCUCAGCGCCCAAGCUAACGCGAUAAGUAAUCCGCCUGGGGAGUACGUACGCAAGUAUGAAACUCAAAUGAAUUGACGUGG
rnacentral:rRNA from 1 species